rnacentral:rRNA from 1 species
AACCUCCGCAAUGUGAGAAAUCGCGACGGGGGGAUCCCAAGUGCCAUUCUUAACGGGAUGGCUUUUCAUUAGUGUAAAAAGCUUUUGGAAUAAGAGCUGGGCAAGACCGGUGCCAGCCGCCGCGGUAACACCGGCAGCUCUAGUGGUAGCAAUUUUUAUUGGGCCUAAAGCGUCCGUAGCCGGUUUAAUAAGUCUCUGGUGAAAUCCUGUAGCUUAACUGUGGGAAUUGCUGGAGAUACUAUUAGACUUGAGACCGGGAGAGGUUAGAGGUACUCCCAGGGUAGAGGUGAAAUUCUGUAAUCCUGGGAGGACCGCCUGUUGCGAAGGCGUCUAACUGGAACGGUUCUGACGGUGAGGGACGAAAGUUAGGGGCGCGAACCGGAUUAGAUACCCGGGUAGUCCUAACUGUAAACGAUGCGGACUUGGUGUUGGGGUGGCUUUGAGCUGCUCCAGUGCCGAAGGGAAGCUGUUAAGUCCGCCGCCUGGGAAGUACGGUCGCAAGACUGAAACUUAAAGGGAUU